GACGAACGCUGGCGGCGUGCUUAGCACAUGCAAGUCGAACGGAAAGGCCCUGCUUUUGUGGGGUGCUCGAGUGGCGAACGGGUGAGUAACACGUGAGUAACCUGCCCCUGACUUUGGGAUAACUUCAGGAAACUGGGGCUAAUACCGGAUAGGAGCUCCUGCUGCAUGGUGGGGGUUGGAAAGUUUCGGCGGUUGGGGAUGGACUCGCGGCUUAUCAGCUUGGUGGUGGGGUAGUGGCUUACCAAGGCUUUGACGGGUAGCCGGCCUGAGAGGGUGACCGGCCACAUUGGGACUGAGAUACGGCCCAGACGGCUACGGGAGGCAGCAGUGGAGAAUAUUGCACAAUGGGCGGAAGCCUGAUGCAGCAACGCCGCGUGCGGGAUGACGGCCUUCGGGUUGUAAACCGCUUUCGCCUGUGACGAAGCGUGAGUGACGGUAAUGAGUAAAGAAGCACCGGCUAACUACGUG
rnacentral:rRNA from 1 species